rfam:Strongylocentrotus purpuratus Contig132992_fixed, whole genome shotgun sequence.
GCCGUGAUCGUCUAGUGGUUAGGACAUUGCGUUGUGGUCGCAAUAACCCAGGUUCGAAUCCUGGUCACGGCA